rnacentral:ncRNA from 2 species
UAUAAAUUACACAUGAUUACUCAUAUAAUCCUGAUAAUAUGGUUCGGGAGUAUCUACCAAAGGGCCGAUAACCCUUUGACUAUGAGUGAGGUAGCUUUGCAU